rnacentral:lncRNA from 1 species
CAAGGAACCUUGCAGUAAUUUAACAAAGUUUAAGGACAAACAAAGUCUUAAGGGCAUUAACCAUCAGUCCAAGACCAUGAAAAUUUUUAUUCCCUUACAAAAUGUUUUCCUCCCAGACAGCUCUUACGUAUUACUAUGUCCUUUAAACGGAUUAAUAGCAGAAAAUUUAACAAGUAAUAGAUGUAAAAAAAAUCAUGUUUAAUAUACUUAAUUAGUCAAUUCAUGACACACAUAAAUACUAGUUCUAUUUAACUAUAUUAUAAAAAAAAAAAAAACAAAACUCUGCUAUCUCAGGUUUUAGGAUAAAGUCCAGAAAAAAGGCUGCUAUAUAAACUAUAAUUUAAAAUAUAACUACAAUUUCUAAAAAAAUAUUCUGAGAGUAUAUCCUCUGCAAUUUCUGAAAUUUUCAAAACUAUACUUUUAUAAGUAAUUGUCUCUUACUUGCAUGUAUUUUCUUUUAUUUGCAUAUAUUUUAACUGCCUGUUUUCCUGUUGUGACAUUUUCUAUCAUUUUACUAGUGGAUUCCCAGGAGACCUUCUUUCUGCGGUCAGACUCAAGGAGAGUAGUCAGUGUGACACUUAAGUGUAAUGAGCACGAUAUUCAGGAAAAUUCCUUAACUGUCAUUUGUGUUUCUACACACAGGCUGAGAUCAGCUCCAUACAAGAAAACAAAGACAGGCUGAGCGACAGUACUGCAGGUAUGAACAGGAAAAUCGCCUUUCCUGCCUUUGACCACAUUUAAUUUCUUACAUGUUUACAUAAGGAGAGCAGCGUCCAGUCAAGCCCUCUGUGUAAGGUCAUGAGAACCAGCUCAUGCCUGUCCCAGGACUGCCAGCAGCGCACAGGCGUGCUUUCUCCACUAGGAGGGGUUUAUAUGUUAAAGAACUAAGCCAGCAGUGCACAGGCGUGCUUUCUCCACUAGGAGGGGUUUAUAUGUUAAAGAACUAAGUUUGAGUGUAAAAAAAAAUUCCAUCUUCAGUUCUCACUUCCCAUUAGUAUUUUCUCUAAUUAAGAAUGCGGCAGUAAAUAGUGUUGGCAGAGUAGCAGCAGUGCCCGGAGGACUCAGAAUUUCCUGUCACCUUACGAUUGUAGACAAGUUCAGAUACCAGUUACUGUACCUCCCACUAAAUGCACAGCAGUUGUUGGACCUGUUUUCAGUCUUAGUUAUUUAGUGUGUCAAAAAUAAGCUAUCAGAUUGCUAUAGCCUGUGUAUUUCAUCUUAUGCAUUUACAGUUUGGGGGUGCAGGCCACAGGUCUCAGGCUUAUAGCAUCUCACUCUCAUUGUACCCAAGCAGCAAGGUAUAUCACCAAGACAGAGGGGACUCUAUAGCCCUGCUGCUCCCACUAGCUAACUUUAAUUCCCACCGUGGGCUCUAAGUACAUUUAGGUAAAGAAAGUGCCAGUAAGUCAAAUGCAGUCGCAAUGGCUUCACCAACACAGGGGCUAGUCAGUGGUGCCUUUUUUUAAAAUCAUCUUAUUUAUUUACAUUCUAGUCCAAUUGUGCCUUUUAAAGAUCUGUCCUAGGACCCCAAUUCUGAGGCUAGCCUGUGCUGUAUAGUAAAACCCUCUCUCAAAAAG